GACGAACGCUGGCGGCGUGCUUAACACAUGCAAGUCGAACGGUGAAGCUCCAGCUUGCUGGAGUGGAUCAGUGGCGAACGGGUGAGUAACACGUGAGCAACCUGCCCCUGACUCUGGAAUAAGCGCUGGAAACGGCGUCUAAUACUGGAUACGAGAAGGGUCCGCAUGGGCACUUUCUGGAAAGUUUUUCGGUUGGGGAUGGGCUCGCGGCCUAUCAGCUUGUUGGUGAGGUAAUGGCUCACCAAGGCGACGACGGGUAGCCGGCCUGAGAGGGCGACCGGCCACACGGGGACGGGGAACGGGCCCAGACCCCUACGGGGGGGAGGAGGGGGGAAUAUUGCAAAAGGGGCGAAAGCCUGAUGCAGCGACCCCGGGGGGGGGAUGACGGCCUUCGGGUUGUAACCCUUUUUCAGAAGGGAAGAAGCGAAAGUGACGGUCCCUGCAAAAGAAGCCCCGGCUAACUACGU
rnacentral:rRNA from 1 species